UGGUAUUGCACUGCUGUGAUGAGGGAACAGAGUUGAAAACCAGUUGAGGGGCCAACUUGAGUCACGAGUAUUUGGUAUUGCAUAUGUGCCACUCAACAGAUAAAAUGUUUCACGCCAACCUGUGUUACUGGGAGUGGGUAUUCCAUGGUCUAAUGGGUAGCGCAUCGAGUAGAAGACAACGAACACACGAGCAGUGGCAUGAGCACGUUGAUGCGGUUAUGCCGAAGGACACCAACGAGGCAGCUGUGAAAGACGUUGACGCAAAUGCGUGAGCAGUGGCACAAGCACGAGGGGCAGCAUGGCAAUGCUGGCAUAAUGAGCGACAUCGGAGCCAGCUGUGCAAGAAGACUAUGAACGUGCGAGCAGUGGCACGAGCACGUUCACGCGGUUACGCCAAGGGACGCCGACAAGCCAGCUGUGGAAGAAGGCAAAUGCGUGAGCAGUGGCACGAGUGCGAGGGGCAGUAUGGGGACGCUGGCAUGAUGAGCGACACUGGAGCCAGCUGUGGAAGACAACAACGAACGUGCAAGCAAUGGCACAAGCAUGUUCACGCGGUUGCGCUGAGGGACGGCAACGCUCAACCCAGCAACGGGCGCCUAAGAGCUGCGCUCUAGAACCAACCUCGUGGCUCUGAGCUGAACGUCGAGCUUAUGUGCUGAACAAUUGUCGACGAUGAGAAGAACUUGUCUGCUGUGGAGUUCCAUUUUCCUGUUGAACUUGAGUCAUCUACGCUUUGUGUUGGCAGCAUAUUCUGUUGGUAGCGUCCGAAUGUUUUAAAACACCGGGGCUUGUGUGCCUUACCAAUCACAAAGAGCGGGACCUUUUCCGUGUCGGUCAUAUUCGCGGCGAUCAACACGGUGGCACGCUCUUUGCUGUGCUUUCCGCUGAUACAGAUGUCCCUUUUAUGAGUCUUAUCUGGUUGAAGUUUGAAAAACGACGCUGUCUCAUCAGCAUUAAAAAUAUCACUUGGCAAGUAGCUGUCCAGGUACAGCUGCAGAACACUGCCUCUCAACGUCGCAUGUGUCGGUGUCCACUUCUUUUGUCUUGCCAGAUAUUGUGCGGAAAACAAGGUUACUGCUGCAGGGCACCGCUUCUCAAGGUCGCAUGUGUCGGCGUCCACUUCUUUUGUCUCACCAGAUAUUGUGUGGAAGACAAGGUUAGUGCUGCUGGGCACCGCUUCUCAAUGUCGCAGAUGUGUCGGCGUCCACUUCCUUUGUCUCGCCAGUUAUUGUGCAGAAGAAGGUUAGUGCUGCAGGGUGCCGCUUCUCAAGGUCGCAUGUGUCGGCGUCCACUUCUUUUGUCUCACCAGAUAUUGUGUGGAAGACAAGGUUACUGCUGCAGGGCACUGCUUCUCAAGGUCCCAUGUGUCGGAGUCCACUUCUUUUGUCUCACCAGAUAUUGUGCGGAAGACAAGGUUAGUGCUGCUGGGCACCGCUUCUCAAUGUCGCAGAUGUGUCGGCGUCCACUUACUUUGUCUCGCCAGUUAUUGUGCAGAAGAAGGUUAGUGCUGCUGGGCACCGCUUCUCAAUGUCGCAGAUGUGUCGGCGUCCACUUCCUUUGUCUCGCCAGUUAUUGUGCAGAAGAAGGUUAGUGCUGCAGGGUGCCGCUUCUCAAGGUCGCAUGUGUCGGCGUCCACUUCUUUUGUCUCACCAGAUAUUGUGUGGAAGACAAGGGUACUGCUGCAGGGCGCUGCUUCUCAAGGUCCCAUGUGUCAGCGUCCACUUCUUUUGUCUCGCCAGAUAUUGUGCGAAGACAAGGUUAUGCCUUUCCCUAAAGCAAUGGAACCAGCCCUCGGAGGCGACGAAGUCCAAGCACUGGGCGAAACCGGCCACCUUUGUCAUGAUUAGGGGUCCGCUCAAAGCAAAGUUCUGGCCUCUUAUUUCUUUGACCCAGAUAUUCACGGUGCUCUCCAAUUCAGGGUACAUAGCUGUGAGUAGCCUUAUUCAGCUGCAGGCAAUAUAUUCAGCUUUGUACGCAUCUUCAAUGCUCUUUCUUUUGCGGAUGUAGGAAGACAAUCUGCUCUGCGGUAUGCAGUGUUUCUUCGUGACUUCAAGCUUGCUGGUCUUCUCUUCGUUUACUUCUCGCAGAAUCUUUUUCUCCUUCAAAGUCUUACUUUCCCCGCGAUGACAUCUCGCAGCUUUGAUGCACGCUUAAAAGAACCAAUGUGCAGAAAGAGUGCGCAGGCACAACAAUGCAACAGCACUACUACCACCACCAGCACGCGAGACUGCAAGACAC